CCCGAGUAGCACGGGGCCGAGGAAUCCCGUGUGAAUCUGCCAGGACCACCUGGUAAGCCUGAAUACUACCUGUUGACCGAUAGCGGAUCAGUACCGUGAGGGAAUGGUGAAAAGUACCCCGGGAGGGGAGUGAAAUAGUACCUGAAACCAUGUGCCUACAAACCGUUGGAGCCUCCUUGUGUGGUGACAGCGUGCCUUUUGAAGAAUGAGCCUGCGAGUUAGUG
rnacentral:rRNA from 1 species